rnacentral:rRNA from 1 species
UGGGGAAUAUUGCACAAUGGGCGCAAGCCUGAUGCAGCCAUGCCGCGUGUAUGAAGAAGGCCUUCGGGUUGUAAAGUACUUUCAGUCGGGAGGAAGGUGGUAAGGUUAAUAACCUUAUCAAUUGACGUUACCGACAGAAGAAGCACCGGCUAACUCCGUGCCAGCAGCCGCGGUAAUACGGAAGGUGCAAGCGUUAAUCGGAAUUACUGGGCGUAAAGCGCACGCAGGCGGUUGAUUGAGUCAGAUGUGAAAUCCCCGGGCUUAACCCGGGAAUUGCAUCUGAUACUGGUCAGCUAGAGUCUUGUAGAGGGGGGUAGAAUUCCAUGUGUAGCGGUGAAAUGCGUAGAGAUGUGGAGGAAUACCGGUGGCGAAGGCGGCCCCCUGGACAAAGACUGACGCUCAGGUGCGAAAGCGUGGGGAGCAAACAGG